rnacentral:rRNA from 1 species
AUUGAACGCUGGCGGCAGGCCUAACACAUGCAAGUCGAGCGGAGCGGCGGACGGGUGAGUAAUGCCUAGGAAUCUGACUGGUAGUGGGGGAUAACGUCCGGAAACGGGAGCUAAUACAGCAUACUAGUAGAUGAGCUUAGGUCGGAUAAGACAGUUGGUGGGUUAAAGGCAUACCAAGGCGACGAUCCGUAACUGGUCUGAGAGGAUGUGCAGUAACACUGGAAUUGAGAAACGGUCCAGACUCCUACGGGAGGCAGCAGUGGGUAAUAUUGGACAAUGGGCGAAAGCCUGAUCCAGACAUGCCGCGUGUGUGAAGAAGGUCUUCGGAUUGUAAAGCACUUUAAGUUGGGAGGCGUUACCAACAGAAUAAGCACCGGCUAACUUCGUGCCAGCAGCCGCGGUAAUAC